AACCCUAUCCGGCCAUCAUUCACCUUUCUCAUCUGUGCAACCCUAACAAUGCCUCCCAACAACGCCCUCUCCCAACAACGCCGCUGUCUCCCUCUCUCAACCCAUCACAACCCCUCCCUCCAACCCGUCGCAGCACCUACAUCCAUCCCUCCCUCGUCGCUCAUGCCCCACGCCGCCGUCUCCCUCUCUCACGCGUGGCGCCAACAUCAGCACCACUCGUCAGCGAAACUCGUCAGCGCCACUCAUCAGCGGCAACUCGUCAGCGCCAACCGUCAUUCUGCUAGUGCCGACGUCUCUGGUGUUUAUAGGAAACGAUCGGUGGCAUCUCCGUCGAGCUUGGCGUCGGAUGUAUCGCUGGCGUCAGUGGUAAAGAUUCGAUUCAUGGUUUAGGGUUUCUCUGAAGUCGCUGCUUGAAAGGUUCGAUUCCUUGUCCUUCAUCUUGCUUGAAACCAUCGUGAAGAAUUGCGAGAAGGCUUUCUCUGAAGUCACUGCGGAGAGGGUUCUUGAUGAUAUGGUUAGGUUAAUUGACGAUCCUCAAACCGUUUUAAUAACCACAACAAGGCUUUGAUCAUGAUUGAGGCUUGAGGCGAAUCCACCAUCGAGCUUCACUAUUUCCCUGUUUAUGAAGAAACUUACAAGGAUUUUGGAGAAGAACAUGAAGCCUAUAAUGUUGUUCUUCAGCACGUUAAAGCUCAAUGAGUAAUUUCUGGAAAUUUCUGUGUGUUUUAUAGCGUUGAAAAUUAUGAUUUAUUGAUCUAUACUUGAUGAGAAAUUUCUGGAAUUUUGAGGUUGAGGUUAAAUUUGAUUGUCCCGACUCAUUUGAUACUUCUGAUGAGUACCAUUCAUAAGAACUAUCUAUUACUCUCCACAAAAUCAAUCUAAAAGCUUAUAAAAUUUUGUUGAGGUUUAUUUCUGCAAAUUUUACAACAAAUUACUUAUGAAAAACCAAACUGGAAGCAUGCUUGGUCAGAUGUGAGCAGCAGUAAUGUAACUAAAGGUCUUGUUUUCUAUUUGCUAAAGAUAUGAAACUAUUGAAUUUAAUUACCCAUUUUUUGAAAUUUCUGAAGUUGAAACCUUUUUACCAUUUUGAAGGGAACUCAUAUUGAGAAGCAGUAAAAUAACAACCAUUUGUGCUAUCUUCAAUUUCUAAAAAAUCAAUGUUUAUAUCAUUAUUGCUUCAUUUAGAUGAAUAGGGAAGAUGUACCUAUCUCCUAUGAACAUUCAGCUUAAUCUAACUGCAAAAUGGUGGUGGCUAUCAAGGAGCAAUUGUUUCUUUUGGUUUUUAAAAAUAUCUUGGCUUAUUGUUCUAAGAUGUAAUGACAAUCAAUGUUUAAUUUGUAUAUUCUUUGAUUACUGAUCAAUGAUUUUAAGUCCAUUAUGCAGGCGUAAUUUGAUGAAUUUGAUUAUUAAACCAGGUCCUGUGCUAGAAAGGCAGCUUGUACCCUGGCUUUGUUAUGCACUCAAGUGAGGUUAAGUAGCUGGUUUUGGUCAAAGAGUAUGCUGGAUUUGUUGUGGAGUAUAUAAAUGGCAAUAAUUCGACAUACAGAAGGAAAUAGUACAUAGUGAAUUGGAUUCUGACAAGGGCAACUUUGCUAGGAUCACUGGUGGCAAUAGUGGAAAAGUAGGUUCUGUCUUUGGCAGAGAGCCUUCAUUUUCACGCUGGUGUGAUGAGGACAAAGAAGUCCAUUUGAAUCGGGAAUUAGGAAAUGCAAGGAAUGAUCUUGUGGAAGAAGACCGUGGUUUUGAAUUAUUGUUUCAUCAGGAGCUACAAAGAGGACCUUUAGAAAGGGAGAGACUGUUUCACCUAAAGUUUUAGCAUAGCAUUUUGUAUGGUGCUAGUAACAUGGAUGAAGAUUCAAUUCAUCGGAGAGUAAAUGGAUCUGAGAAGCAUGUGCCUUUUGAAAGUGUGCUAAGUUGUGAUUGCAAGUGUUCUCAUUAUCAGUGGGUGAAAUAGGAACUGUGAUUACCUUUGGCGCAAGGAAGUCUUGUGAAUUCUUCCAUGAUCGUAUGAAGGGCAGAAGUGAUGAAGGUAAAGUCAGAAAAAUUUUGAAGGUGGAACAUAACUUUUACUCUCUGGGAUCAAGACAAAGAAGAGGCCCAAUGCAUGCAUACAUGAUAUGAUCACUGAACACAUUCAAUUGCAUUGCAAAAAAGCAUAAAAAAGGCCAUACAGCAGGUCCUAUAUAUAUGCUUGAGUAAAGACAAGUGAAAGAAAAGCAAAUAUAUCAUUGAAGAUGCAGCAGGAGCACACAGUAGAUGGUAUCAACUAUUCACCUAACUUCUCAUCAUUCUCAAGCUUCAUAGUUUAUAUGUACACUCUGAGCUGCAGAAGUGUUUUUGUUCAUCUUUCCUUUACUUUAUUUUGGAGUAGUGUGUAAAAAUGUAACUCAACUAUGUUACAUACAAGAAAUAUGGUUAUUAAUGUAUAGUAAAAAUUGUCAUCUUUUGUAUUUGUUAAUUGACAUGCAAGCUAAGCAUGGGGCAACAGUACGAUCACCAAUUAGUA